AUUAUUUCUUCAUCAAAUGUUUUAUCACUAUUGAAACAAUUUAAUCCAAAAAUGCUUGCGCAUUUUUUUUAAUUAUUUUUGUUCGCUGGGCUAAUUGUUAGUGAACAUACAAUUGAUGAUUAUGUGUUGUUUGAGGCAGAACUAGUGCUGCAAGUUACAUGCAGAAGCAGUGAUUUAGUUUCUUUUAUGAUGUGGUGGGGGAAACAGGCAGUUCUUAAUUCUUAUUAUUAUGUGGUUGGAUAUAGUGUUAUUUUG
rnacentral:misc_RNA from 1 species